ensembl:lncRNA
AUGAUCUUUUCAGGGGUCCUUACUGCUGCAGGGAGGUCGAAGAACAGACCCAUACCAUCACAUAUAUCUUAGGUCACUGUAAAUUAAGAUUCCUUGAAAAAGUGGUCUUGACUGAAAUUGAGCAUAGUGUUAGUACAAACAAGCCAAGAAGUCAAGCCCUGCUGACAAUCGCAGCUACCUUAGCUGUUGGCGGCCAUCCAGCAGCCACAUCAGCUGAUAAAUCAACUGAUUCCUCUAUUGGUAAAUCUCUUACAGGGUGCUCGAUUUAAAUUCUUUAUAAGUGACCCAUUCUUGCUUCUUCCUCCACAAGCCCCUUUCACAUACACCUCCACCUGAGCUCCACCUUUUCAGCCGUGUAUGACUAAUGGUUGUCAGUUCUGGUGUCAUUGAUCCCAUUUGAUAUCCUAUAUGGAGGUCUGUGGUCGCAGAACAGAUUCAUAUGGCUAAAUGUAUACAGCCAUAUAAUAACAUUUCUUUGACAAAGUAGUCGUCACUGAACUAUAGGUCACAAGAUUACAUUUAAACCCCACUAGUUAUUUUUUACUCAGCAGAGCUUGAAUGUAAGUUAUGCAAGUUAUUGCAUGACCAUUGAUAGUGCAAGCGUCUGCUUCUUUUGCCUCUGAGCAAUGUUUUAUUGCUAAACAACAAUCCGCCUCCUUCUUUUUCUCCUGCACUGCUGCGGUAGCUUGUCUCUAUAUUAAGCCAAAUGUAAAGUAGUGGAAACACAACACCACCUUAUGAAUUAAAUAUGUAAAUGAAAAAAAAUUGUAAUUGGGUUUGCUUAUCAUUUUCCUUACCCAAACGGUGCUGUGGGGCAAAGCAUUGUUUCUGUGGUUCAGGCACGUUAAAUUAGAUUGUGGCAGUGUUUACACGACAUUUAUUAAAAUUUUGCCGGUUGGCUCGGCAGCUGUGCAUGUUAACGUGGUUAUUUUUAGAUGCUUGUAAUGGUUUACAGAUUAUAGCAGGUUGCAGGGCCGACAACAAAGCCUCAUAAUAAGGACUUAAUGAAAUAUAUGCCUUCAGAGGUAUUCUUGUGUAAAAGCUGAGAACUUUCUUUUUCCGUCCAUGCAUGUGUAUCUGCCACAUUCCUUUUCUCUAUCACUUUUGCAAAAGAGGCUGUUGAUCAAACUAACUAGCUGGGGGGGGAAAAACACGGAGGUGUAACACAAAAACAAAGAGGGAGGUAACAUUUUUACUCCCAUGAGUAAAAUUCUUGUGAAUCUCUAAUAGAAAAAACUGGAUCCUUUAGACAGCUAUAGUAAUAAUGCAAAUAGAUGGGUUAUGUUUUUAUAACAUGAUCUACGACUCCCCAUUGGGUCCCUGAUUUGCCGUGCUUUAACGUAAGAUGUCCCUACCCCCUCUUAUACUCUCACCUGCUUUAGGAGGUCCUCCCUGGUACUUCAAUUGCCAUGGCAACCAAGCCACCUAUUCAUUUGAGAUAUUUUAAAUAUUUAUAAAUUUGUGUAUGUAUAUAUACACAGUGCUCGAAGUGGGUCGGUACUCAUACAUAUACACACAUUAUAAUAUAUAUAUAUAUAUAU